GCGCAAUCCGCUAAACGGUCAGGCCGUGUCGCGGAAGGUUCAACAACCCGCUAUUUCUCGAGAAACUCGACGAAAGGUGAGCG
rfam:Paraburkholderia sp. SOS3 chromosome 1, complete sequence.